ACAACAACAUUCGGACCGUCGGUCUACCGAGCAAUAUCACUCGUUCGAUGGAAGAUCUGCCCUUUCGUCGUUAAAC
rnacentral:pre_miRNA from 1 species